rnacentral:tRNA from 1 species
UGUGGUGUAGUUCAGUGGUACAGUCCUUGCAAAGUAUGCAUAUGGGCCUGGGUUCAAUCCCCAGCACCACUG